AUGUGCUGGCGGGCCGCUACUCAGAGAGUCGAUAAGUGUUUGGCUCAGAGGGGAGAUGAGGGAUAGAGCAACACUGAGGAGCCACCAGCCUGGAGUCAGGUGUCAUUUCAAGGAAUGUAUAUACAAGUAGUCUUGGAUGUGGAGAAUGUCAACCUUAAUGAGAAGGAGGCAAAAGAGGCAGAACAAAGACGAGAUUUCUGAGCUACAGGUGGAGCUAGACGGGC